UUUGUCAUAAAUAAAGUCAUAUAGAGAUUUAUAAGAACUAAAUGUAUUUGAUACAGAUGCUGCCGGUGUUUUACAACAACUAUAUAUGACCGAUGUUAAAAACACGACUUCCCAGGAUUUAUUCAAUUGUCGUAUUAAGCUGCCAAUAGAUGAGCAAUUUUUAGUGGAAGUAUCGUUAACUAAUUCAUCGAAUAUCGGAUUGAAUGUGCAGCACUGAUUCAACUGGUUAACAUAUGUACUUCUGAGCUUCAACUUGUCUUUUGCGAUGAUUGCAGGAAUAUAAAAUUGUUUUUUCUUAACCAUAACAGUUUGACUAGACCAUGGAAUUAGAGCAACAUAUAGCCAUAGCCCAAUUUUCUCAUCUUCACUUAAUUUCAUAAGUUUAGGAAACGUCAAUGCAAGACUCUGAAAUAAAGACUCGGUAGCUUCCAAUGCCUUUGGAAUUUGAAAUUCUUUUUCAGCUGGCAAAGUAUCGAACGUAAACUGAUACGUGUUCGUUGAAUAUAACAGUUGAAGUGCUAGCUUCGCGUUUGCACCCUUCAACAUUUUCUCAAUUUCCUCUCCUACACGUUCCUUGCUAACCUUUUUUUCAAAAGCUUUACAUACUUUCGGAUCUUGGAUAGCGGAAACGACCGACGGAUCAAUUGUAAAUUCAAAUCUGGAUGCAAACCGAAUGCCUCUCAAAAUUCGUAAGGGAUCUUCCAAAAAUGAUUGGAGAGGUGAAAUGGGCGUGACCAACACUUUGGUUUGCAAAUCUUUAUAUCCUCGCUUUGUAAUGUCCUCUAUUUUUUCUGUUCGUAUGUUAAAGAAUAGGGUGUUAACCGUGAAGUCUCUUCUCAAUGCAUCUGUUUCAACAGUUCCUGGGGUAACGCUAGGAAUUCGACUUUUAUCAUCAUAUGAUUCUGCACGAAGUCCUACAAAAUCAAUAUCAAGGUCAAAUAGGGAUAAGGUAGCAGUUUCUAAAUGCUUGCUUUGAUCGGGAUUGACAGUUAGCUUGCCAAGUGCGUCUUUAUAUGGAAUAACUGAGUCAGAGUCGAGAGAGUGAACAUACUCAAAUAUUGAAUUUGCAAAGUCAACACCGGUAACUUUAUUCAACGUAACGUCUAAAUCGUCACUAGAAAGCCCAAGAAGUUUAUCGCGAACCCAUCCUCCUGCCAAUCUAACUUCCAAUGACGAACUGCUGCUGGAUUUAGAUUCAAUAAAAUCAGCAGUCUUUUUCAAAAGAUUAACAACUUUUUUCUCAACAUCGUUCAAUACAAUUCUAGAAUACAUUUUCGUCAGCCAAAUUCCAUAAACGAUACACAGUUUGGGCAAUACCGGUUUCUCUAAGGUUGGCAGGUUGAGGUUUGAAUAUGCUUCUCUUAAAGAAGGACAUGUAGUAGUAAUU